UACAGAGGGUGCAAGCGUUAAUCGGAAUUACUGGGCGUAAAGCGUGCGUAGACGGUUAUUUAAGUCAGGUGUGAAAGCCCCGGGCUCAACCUGGGAAUUGCAUUUGAGACUGAAUAGCUAGGGUGCGGAAGAGGGAAGCGGAAUUUCCGGUGUAGCGGUGAAAUGCGUAGAUAUUGGGAAGAACACCAGCGGCGAAAGCGUGCUACUGGGUCUGCACUGACACUGAGGGACGAAAGCUAGGGGAGCGAAAGGG
rnacentral:rRNA from 1 species